GGUUUCAUUAUGCUCCAGACGGCUGUCAACCAGUGAGCCAUGAUUCCGACGAGAGAGCUGUGGGGAAGAACAUGGUUUUGGUUGGCAGACCUGGUUUGGUUGAGAUCCAGCAUCCCACCAUGAGCUGUCUUUAGGCACGUUGUCUCCCUGCUCCGGGCCUCGGAUUCAUCUCAUGUAUUAAGAAGACAGUGACACUUUCUGGAUGUGUCCUAUCUCCUGUCUCCAAUGAAAAGCUGAUUCUUUGGUUGCUGGUCAAUAUGGGGUAUGUGUGUGUGUGUGUGUGUGUGUGUGUGUGUGUGUGUGUGUGCGCGCGCGCGCGCGCUUGGCCAUGGCAUUCGGAAGUUCCUGGGCCAGGAAUUGAACCUGUGCUACAGCAGUGCCAAAUAAACACUUAACAGCAGUGUUGCAAAAUCCUUCACUGCUAGGCCACUGGAACUCUUCAGAAUGUUUUAAAAGCACCUUUUUAUUGUCUUUUAGCCGUGAGGCUAGGACAGAAAAAAAUAUAAAUUAUUCAGAUUAGAGAAAACACGCUCUUAAACAGUAUUCUCAUGGAGAGGCAAGUAUGGUUUGGAGGAUGGGAUGCAAUAAGUAAUCUUGAAUUAGAGAAUAAAAUAAAAUUCCUCUACUGUGUCAGAGUGAGGUGGAAACGAGGCAAAAGAUUGCCCUUUUGCUGGAAAGAGCCCAGCUAGAGUCUUUACAAAAAAAAAAAAAAAAAAAAAAAAAAAAAAAAAAGACUUUCAAGUGCUAGAUCAUUUAAUUUGACCAUGGUGUACUCUGGUUUCCUGAUUGUGUAUGUACAAAUUAAUGAAAUUCAUAUGAAGUUCUGUUUCUCCCUCUAGACUAGUGUGAUGAAUGUCACGUAAUAAGUGCAAUAAAUAUGUAAUGUGACAGAUGUUAUGAAUACCUACAUGUGUUUCUAUGUAUCAUUUAUUUUUAUUUUAUCUUUUUGUCUUUUUGUCUUUUUAGGGUCGCACCCAUGGCACAUGGAGGUUCCCAGGCCAGGGGUCCAAUCAGAGCUGUAGCUGCCAGCCUAUGCCAUAGCCAUAGCAACGUGGGAUCCGGGCCAAGUCUGUGACCUACACCACAGCUCAUGGCAACGCCAGCUCCUUAACCUGCUGAGCAAGGCCAGGGAUCGAAACCACAACCUCACGGAUGCUAGUUGGGUUUGUUAACUGCUGAGCCAUGAUGGGAACUCCUGUAUGUGUCAUUUAGAUUGAGUGUAGCUAAUAUGCGUGUUGGGAAAAUUCCUGUUGUUUAUCUCCAAUUUCUAAAUUUCAUAUUUAAAAUGUGAAAUAAUCUUAGAACCCUGCCUGUGGUUAGAAAACCUUGCUGGGCUCUUGCAUUCCAAGCUGCUGUCUGAUGAAACUCAUGGGGGCUUAGAAAACAGUGCAGCACUGUUUUACGAAGGUGAGCAUGAGACUACAGUCAUGGCAAAUUUCAGAUCACCGUCACGCUAGCAGGUGCCUGGUUUGUCAUCUCCUCUCCUCCCCCCAACACAAUUUCUACCUGAAUUGGACCCACCCACUUUAAAAUUCUGAUUCUAAGGUAAUGUCUGUGAUUGUGUUCCAUUUUCAGGUGGACUCUCUGUGUCCUCCUAUGGGGAUACUUAGGGAACUGAUGUUGACCGAUUCCUCUGCCUCGUUGCAGCCUGACAGAUGGGCUCCUGUGUUGUAAGCCUCAGAGGCUGUCUGAACGGCAGAGUUUGAAACUCAGGCUCUAGAAAAGGGAGUUCUGGGACUCUUGUACUCGGUUUUGUAGAGACAGCUGCCUUGAAUCUCUUUCUCAUUACUGGCUCAGCCAAGCCUAUGUGUUCCAGAAGAGAUCUUCCCACUUACCUCCUUAAUGCCAGAUACUUAAGGAACAUUGAGGCCCAGAUAAUGAUGACUCUUGAAGUGAGAAUUUCACAUCCCCUUGCAAAGGGGACUUAAAAAUGACAAACCUCCCCUUUCUUUAUUUUCUUAACUCCAUUUAAGAAGACCCUCCAACUCAAGCUAUUUAUGGACCAUCAAGCCACCAACAUGCUGGAUGCCAGCAGAGUUUUAGACAUGGAGGUUGGGGGAGGGGAGACGAGACCUCAUAACAGGGUCAGAGAUGCAAAGCAGGCAGGGACCUGGUUAGUGCUCAGGACGCCUGACCCUCCGCUUUGAGUUUGAAAUGACACAUAUUGGUGCCCUCUCUUUUUUUUUUUUUUCUUUUUAGGGCCGCACCUGUGACAGGUUCCCAGGCUAGGGGUCGAAUCAGAGCUACAGCUGCCGGCCUACACCACAGCCCCAGCAACUUGGGAUCCAAGCCGGGGCUGCAACCUACACCACAGCUCAUGGCAAUGCUGGAUCCUUAACCCACUGAGUGAGGCCAGGGACUGAAUCUGCAACAUCACAGUUGCUGGUUGGAUUCAUUUCCACUGCACCAGUGGGAACUCCUUGAUGCCCUCUUGUGUGCUAGGCACUGCCCUAGCAACUUUGUGCCUUAUCAGCCUUCCUCCCACCCCUUCAAGGUAAAGGAUUGUAUUUCUGUUCACUGAGAUCGAGGCAUCAUAAUGUGCCUAAGGUUAUAGGGGAGAAAGUACCCCACCUCCCUUGACCUUGUGUUAAAACACUAGACUCCACCUCAUUGGAUAGAUUGCAGCUGCCUCCUCUCUGAAAAAGCUGGAUGUAUCAUUAGUAGAAUCUCUUGUACUAGACGUUUCUGUAACUCGUGUAAGUAUUCUUGAAAAAGGGCAGUUUACUUCCAUCUUUCUUCCUUAUCUGCAGUGAUGACAGCUGGCUCUAGUACAGACUCCAGAGAUCUUUGGGUUACAGCAUUUUACAAACCUAAUGCCAGGAAUGGUGUGCUGUUGUAAGCAAGCUAAUGAGGAGAGAGAGAGAGAGAGAGAGAUAGGGAGGGAGAGGGACAGGGAGGGGGAGAGAGAGAAAGUGUGGCAAGAUAUGCAUGCUCUAGCAACCCCAGUGGGCUGGACCAUCCUUUGUUCUCCGUUCACAUCCUCAGAGGCUGUGAUGGACAAAGGCAUCAUCAGGGAGUAAAAGCAGUCCUUCCUGCCAGUGGUCCUUAUAAAGCAGAUGCAGUGGUGGGCUGUGUGACACGCAAGGCAGAGAAUUUCCACAGCUGUCCAAAGAUGGGAGAAGACAGAGCCCAGGGCCAGUUGUAGGCUUUCGCAGGUAUCGGUCCUGGUACUAAGUGCUCUCUCCACUUAGGUAAGAAGGGAAUUAGUUAACGUUAUCUAGAAUCGACCUUUUCCCUGUGGUCUCAUGUUUGACACCUGAAAUAGUUCUCUAGGGUACUAAGUCAUAGCUUACUGCUUAGAAACAUGCCAGGUGCUUCUGUAGGCGUUUUUGUUGUCAUUGUUCCUGGGAUGGAUCUCUUUUGACUUUAUGGGGGGGGGGGGCAGAACAGAGGAUAUUCUUCCCCAAAUAUCAUUCAUGACUAUAUAUUGAGAGCAGCACCUUUUUUAUUUUCCAGUUUAGUUUUCAGCUCAUCUUGCCAAUCCUAUACCAAAGCAUUAAGGAAUCAGAGGGAAAACUAGUUUGUCCACUUUAUUUUAAAGCUAGUUAUUGGAUUUUCUGACUAUAAAAGUAAAUAGUCAUGAAAAACAACAGAAAAAGAAACCAUAGGAGAGGAUAAAAAGGAAAUCAGAAUUGCCCAGCAUCUCACUAGACUGAAGCAAGAGCACUUCCUGUUUUAGCACCUGGUCCUGGUUCUCUGCUGAGCCACUGACCUGGUUGGGAGACAGGUGCCCUGCGGGCAGAGCUGAGCCCACCAUGGAGGUGCAGUGUCCCCAGUGCCUGGCAGAGGCCCCGAUGCACAGUAGGAGCUUAGGAAUUGUGUGUUAGUUGAAUGUGCUGUGUUCUGAGUCUGGGAACUGGGGUGGCCUGAACCCUGUCAGGGAUGAUGCUGAACCUCUGUGGAGGGGGCGCCCUCUAGCUGGGGGGUUCCUCAGUGUGUGGGUGGAUGGGGAUGUCCCUCUGAAGGACUGGGGUCAAUGAUGCUAGGGCCACACUGACUGAGACAGGAAGGCAGGCAGUCUCUCCCUCUGCUCCUGGCAGGAAGCCGGCUAGAAAGGGAGCCAGGAAAUGUAGUCUGUAGGGUCCUGGCCCAGAACCUGAGGGCAGGGAAGGGAAGGACGGGCUUGGACUUGGGAAGGUAGUAAACUACCAGCACUGCCUGUCAUUUCUUUUUUUGUCUUUUUUGGGCCUCACCCACUGAGGCAUAUGGAGGUUCCCAGGCUAGGGGUGCAAUCGAAGCUGUAGCCGCCGGCCUACACCGCAGCCACAGCAACACUGAAUCCAAGCUGCGUCUACAACCUACACCCACAGCUCACGGCAACGCUAUAUCCUUAACCCACUAAGUGAGGCCAGGGAUCAAACCCGCGUCCUCAAGGAUACCAGUGGGUUUGUUAACCUCUGAGCCACGAUAGGAACUCUGUCAUUUUAAAGAGUUAAAUCUUGAAUGCGGAUUUGCUCUGUUCUAAUAUAACUUAUAUUUUCACUGCCAAUAGUAUAUCCUGGGAGUUCCCGUUGUGACUCAGCAGGUUAAGAACCUGAUAUUGUCUCUCUGAGAACAUGGGUUCGAUCCCUGGCCUCGCUCAGUGGGUUAAGGAUCUGGCAUUGCCUCAAGUUGUGGCGUAGGUCUCAGAUGUGGCUCGGAUCCAGUGUUGCUGUGACUGUGGUGUAGACCACAACUGUAGCUCUGAUUCCACCCUUAG
rnacentral:lncRNA from 1 species